GCCUUUGUGGUGUAGCGUGCAGCACGCUGGGCGCGUAUUCCAGAGAUCCGUGGUUCGAGUCCCGGCGAAGGCG
rnacentral:tRNA from 1 species